CUGAGACCCAGGCAACUCUUUUUCUAACAGCAGCCCAGGCAGUUCUGAGAUAGAACACAGGAAUGUGCAGAGAAACUUCUACCCACUGCAGAAGAUGAACUCUUCUUUAAAGAAAAGUUACUUUGAAAAUGAAUUGGACUGGGCAUCACCAGUACCUAGAGGCGUGUGUGGAACAUGGAGGGCAUUGGCAGCAGGCAGCAGAGCGAGGAACAUGGCAGGCAUCGGCCGCGGCAGGAUGGUGGAACAGAGGACCACAGCUUCCCAAGCCUGCCUCCAAUACCUCGUGUGAUGUCGUAAAUCAGGCUGCAUUACCACAUGUCACCUGUCCCACACUGGGAUGUCAUCUGCUGGCCGCCAUCCUAACCAGUGGAGGGUGUGAUCUAUGUAAGGAAGAAGGUUACUUCAUCUUUAUACAGUAGUGAUCAGUAUGUGCAGUGUUCCCUAUGACCGCCUCUGCUCUUGCAAAAUGCCAGCCUUGAGUUUCCAUUCAGAAGUCUGCCUCACUCCCCAAAGCACACCCAAUUCCCCAUACAUUGGACAAGAAUCUCUAAAGAAUGCAACCAUGGCAUCCCUGCUCUGAAGUCCUGAAUGCCAAAGUCAACAAUGGGGUGGAGAACCUACAGCCAGUCACCCUCAUGGAGUUCCAGUCCUGCUGUGGCAAUGGCUUCGCUUGCAAAAGCCAUACAGCAUACAGCCCCAGAAUAGCAAGAAGCUAGGCAAAUGCAAGA